CCCUGCCCUAUCCUACCGGGUCCUGCUCUGGCCUUUCCCAUCACACCCUGCCCUGUCCUGUCCCAUCCUGCUUUGUUCUGUCCCUCCCUGUCCAGUCCGUCUUAGUCCAGCCCCAUUCUGCUUUUGUGCUUCUUUGCGCCGGGCUUCGCGUUACCGGAGCCAAGGCUGUUGUAGGUUCUGCACAACCUGGCUCCUGGACGUCAGCGUUGGGAGGCGGACUGAUGUCGCUAGAGCCCAGCCUGAGCCAGGCCAGAGAUGCAGACUCCUGGUGUAGCUGGCAGCAGUAUGGUCCAGACUCACCGAGAAAGGCGGCUUCGAUGAGCCCCUCCACCGCGCAGACCCCCAGAAAGUGGAGCUAGUGUGGGGGCUGCUCCAGUGAAAUGACCGAUGGCUGAAGCUGCAUCUCUCCAGCCUGGGGGGCUGGCCCCCAUUGUCAGUCAGGUCACUAGAAAAACAGGCAACUCCAGUCGAUUUCAGUUACUGUGGUUCCUUUUGUGAGCUUGAACACGCACAAGUGUUCAUGCACACAUCCUGAUAUCAAAGAAGGGGAAACCCAGGCAGCAAAACCUGGCCCGGAGGAGAAGGGAGAAGAUUUUUCCUCAGUGACUCCUAAACUCCUUGUAGCUGUGUGGGGUGUCUUUGGAGACUGGCUACAGCCUCCCACUUCGGGUCUGAGGAUGUAAGACAGAAAUACCUCCAGUCGACUGAAAGCAUUUGUAAGCAUGUUUGUGUGCAUCUUUUAGUCCGCUGUGUGUUGUCACUGGCGCCUGCUUGGUCCAGCGCUGGGCUGGGCCCUGGGGACGUAGAUGAGUCAGGUCUGCAUGCUGAACCCCGUGCCCAGUGGUGGCCACUCUGGCUGUACCUGUUGCCUUGCCCAGAGUUGUGGGCUGUUCUUUGAGAGAACUCAGUCGGGGCCCCGGUGAGCUGUGGUUCCUGCUUUGUGGCCUGGACACAGACACAGAACCUUUCAUCCUCUGCUCAGUACCUCUUGUCCCCAGACAAGCCUUCCUUAUGGGCAGUGUAUGCACGCCACUGGCUUCCUGUAGGGGCCUACCUCUCCCUGGGACUAGCCACCCAGCUGCUGCUUGCCACAGCGGGCCACCUGAGACUCACCCACCUCCCCCAAUAUUCUCCCACCCCUCCACUGUUCAACAGGCAGCCACACUCCACCUCCACCACUCAGAUUGUAGCUCCAGACCUGGCCUUGUCCUCCAGGCUGCUCUAGUUUCUUAGAAAUUCCUAGUCUUGCCCUUCCUGCUCUCUCUCUCUCCAGCUAACCCCCAGCCUUCCUGAACUGUCUCUCCCUGCUGCCUGUGUCUCCACCUUAGGGGGCUUCUCCCUAAGGAAGGGCAUUGGCCAUGUCAGUACUGGGCCAGGUGUGGAUGACCUGUGAGGUGUUCACUGAAUGAGUGGUAUGGAAUUUCUGCCCUUCUCUAGAAGCUGGAGCCAAAAGAAUACAUCACAACAGCUUGCAGCCGAGGGCCACAGCUGAGAUCAAAGGCGAUAUUUUUACAGCAACUGAAAUAGAAAACCACUGGACACAUGGUGGGAGGUGAGUUCAGAAUCCAGACUAACAAUCCAGAAAUUGUCGGAGUGGAACCCAGCUCUCCAGACUUCAACAGCCUGCCCCAGGGAUUCUGCUGGAAGCUGAAGUUGAGAAUCCUGUACUGCUGCCUUGUUUUCCAUAAGGUUAGGCUAACACAUGGGCUGGGUGUGAACCUGGGCCAGGCAUCCUUUUAGCCAUACAAAUAUUAACUCAGGGAAGUUCACAAAUGACUCCGUGAGAAAACCUAAUGAAGUGGAGGUGCACAGUGGCAGAGGAAACCAGGCAGCUUUGAGCAGCCAAAAGGAUUCUAGAGUCAAGCUCUUCUGGGCUGAGACAAAAAUCCCCAGCAGUGUGUCUGGCUCCUAGAGGACAUUCUGGGCCUGGCUGAGAAUGCGGUCCUACAGGUGGCAUUACCUCACCUGAGAGAGACGAUGGCCCCCGUUCUCUGAGAUCUGCUGCUUUGUCAAGACUGAGGUAUAUGUCAUCUGCAACGCCAACUUCAGUGUCUGGAACCCUGGGGAAUGUUAGCCUCGCCCUGCACCAGGCCACAAACUCAAAAUGACAUCCUGGGCUUUUGAAACACCUCACUAUACGGGACACAGAGUAGUGGUCUCUCACAGGGAGCUGGGACCUCAGUUUGACCUCUCCGAACCUCUGUUUCUUCUUCUAUGAAGUGAAGGGCAAUAGUUGUAAAUCCACAGGGCUUCUGUGAGUUUGGGAAUGGUGAUGUUUGUCACACCCAGAAGUGUGCACAGAGCAGCAGGCUGUGGUUAAGCCGACUACCCUCCUUCUCCCCCUGCCUUCUGGUGGCUUUGGGGAAUACCAGCGUCCAGAAAAGUUCAAAGGAAGAAGCAAGUUCCCAAAUGAACCAAGUGUACUUGGCCUCCAGCCCCUCGGCUCUCUCCAUCUCCUGGGCACAGGGCUCCGGGGAGGUUUUGGAGGUUAAACACAGGCGCCUGCUAUAUCCUGGCAGAAACUUAGUUACCUGUGUUGAGGAGCACCAGCUCUACCACCCCUCACCACAUCUCACACGCCACAGCACACUGGCCAGGCCAGGCCAAACUAGGCUUCCGCAAUCACUGUUAUGUUUGGGGACCAGUUGCCGCCAGACUGAGAACAUCUGAAGCUCGUAAACUGCAGGUUCCCUGGGGGCUGACCCCCACUUUGGCUUGGGGAGAAUUACCCAUAGACAGAGCUUGCAAGGGAUGCAAAAGAAGACCAGGUGAGGGGUGGCCAUGAAGGUAGGGGGAGG
rnacentral:lncRNA from 1 species